UUCUAGGUGUGAUUGCUGAUCUGCAUUCC
rnacentral:piRNA from 1 species